CCGCUCCGUCCAGAAGAGUUUAUCUCAUAUGUGUUGGAUGGCCUUGAUGAUGACUAUGAACCGCUGGUAGAAGUGAUCUCAAACCGGACGACUCCCAUCCCCGUUCGUGAUCUUUACGCCCAGCUGUUAAGUACUGAGC